rnacentral:tRNA from 1 species
AAGAUUAUAGUUUAAAAAACAUUUGAUUUGCAUUCAAAAAUUAUUGAAUUAUUAUUUUCAAUUUAUCUUA